GAGGGCGGCGGCGUCAGGAAGCCGGGGCUCUGACAGGUCCUCCACGUGGCCCUGGGCCAGCUGCCCGUAGCUGUUGGCCCCCUGACGGACACGACAUGGGUCACGUUACUACCAGUUAAUCGUUUGGGGUUUGUUUUCGUUGCACUUGUUAGCUAGCGCGAACCAGUUUGCUAACUGUUAAGCUUUUAGCUAGUUACAUCAGCAAAAGUGCGACGACGGUUGCGUGGGUCACUCCGCUGGUGGUUUCUCCUUUUAUGGACAUUACUACUUAAGUGAUAACAUUCCGGCAGUGGGACAUAGAAGACCAUCGAUUUGACAUGAAGAUGUUCUAUUUGGGAAGUUAUGUAUCCUAAAUAAAAACUUAACAUAUAGAAGCAGUCACUAAUUCAGUGUCCAAGAAACCAACUCUAACAAUUUCAAUCAGUGUCUUUCUAUUUCAGAAUGUAUUUUUACAUUGCCCUUGGGUCAAAGUGAUAAUUAUUUUUAGAUACACAAACUCCAGCCUGAACAUAAAUUGUCACUUUCAGGGUCCUCGCUGUCAUCCUUCUGCUUCUCCAUGAUCAUCAUCAGCAUGUUCCUCAGCAUCUAGUAUCCAUAACCAAACCACCACCAUAAGGACAUCAAUAAGUGACUAAGUCUAAAGGACGGCGGGAAGAUCAGUUGGCUGGCAGAGGUCCUCACACACAACGUCGCAGACAAAGUUCCACACUGCUUUGCCGGGUCCAUCAGGGGCAGCUGGAAGACACAAUUAAACAACGUAUUAUCUGUUGAGAGCUUACGUCAAUCUUCUGUUAGAAUGUACCGAGUUAAGAACUAUGGUGACAACCUGUAACUUCUGAAGUGAUGUGCCAAUAGCUGAACUCAACACAUACAGCAUUGAUCGCUCUUACCAAGAGUCUGAAUGCCCUCAUCUACAGUGGUGAGGAGUUGGAGGGCAUGAAGGUAAACCUCUAAGCCAUUCGGACUCUCUGAUCUGUGAAAGCAAUUCAAUACGGUUGAAAACUGAGCAUCAAUUAAAUAAAUCAUUAACAUCAUAAGUACCAUAUAUUUACCUAAGCU